UCAUGAGGGUGCUAUACAUGCAAGUCGAGCGAACGGACGAGAAGCUUGCUUCUCUGAUGUUAGCGGCGGACGGGUGAGUAACACGUGGAUAACCUACCUAUAAGACUGGGAUAACUUCGGGAAACCGGAGCUAAUACCGGAUAAUAUUUUGAACCGCAUGGUUCAAAAGUGAAAGACGGUCUUGCUGUCACUUAUAGAUGGAUCCGCGCUGCAUUAGCUAGUUGGUAAGGUAACGGCUUACCAAGGCAACGAUGCAUAGCCGACCUGAGAGGGUGAUCGGCCACACUGGAACUGAGACACGGUCCAGACUCCUACGGGAGGCAGCAGUAGGGAAUCUUCCGCAAUGGGCGAAAGCCUGACGGAGCAACGCCGCGUGAGUGAUGAAGGUCUUCGGAUCGUAAAACUCUGUUAUUAGGGAAGAACAUAUGUGUAAGUAACUGUGCACAUCUUGACGGUACCUAAUCAGAAAGCCACGGCUAACUACGUGCCAGCAGCCGCGGUAAUACGUAGGUGGCAAGCGUUAUCCGGAAUUAUUGGGCGUAAAGCGCGCGUAGGCGGUUUUUUAAGUCUGAUGUGAAAGCCCACGGCUCAACCGUGGAGGGUCAUUGGAAACUGGAAAACUUGAGUGCAGAAGAGGAAAGUGGAAUUCCAUGUGUAGCGGUGAAAUGCGCAGAGAUAUGGAGGAACACCAGUGGCGAAGGCGACUUUCUGGUCUGUAACUGACGCUGAUGUGCGAAAGCGUGGGGAUCAAACAGGAUUAGAUACCCUGGUAGUCCACGCCGUAAACGAUGAGUGCUAAGUGUUAGGGGGUUUCCGCCCCUUAGUGCUGCAGCUAACGCAUUAAGCACUCCGCCUGGGGAGUACGACCGCAAGGUUGAAACUCAAAGGAAUUGACGGGGACCCGCACAAGCGGUGGAGCAUGUGGUUUAAUUCGAAGCAACGCGAAGAACCUUACCAAAUCUUGACAUCCUUUGACAACUCUAGAGAUAGAGCCUUCCCCUUCGGGGGACAAAGUGACAGGUGGUGCAUGGUUGUCGUCAGCUCGUGUCGUGAGAUGUUGGGUUAAGUCCCGCAACGAGCGCAACCCUUAAGCUUAGUUGCCAUCAUUAAGUUGGGCACUCUAAGUUGACUGCCGGUGACAAACCGGAGGAAGGUGGGGAUGACGUCAAAUCAUCAUGCCCCUUAUGAUUUGGGCUACACACGUGCUACAAUGGACAAUACAAAGGGCAGCGAAACCGCGAGGUCAAGCAAAUCCCAUAAAGUUGUUCUCAGUUCGGAUUGUAGUCUGCAACUCGACUACAUGAAGCUGGAAUCGCUAGUAAUCGUAGAUCAGCAUGCUACGGUGAAUACGUUCCCGGGUCUUGUACACACCGCCCGUCACACCACGAGAGUUUGUAACACCCGAAGCCGGUGGAGUAACCUUUUAGGAGCUAGCCGUACA
rnacentral:rRNA from 1 species